GAAGGAAAGCACGAAGCCAGAUCUCCGGAUCUAGACAGCACUGCCAUUUACUUGGGUCAUCUGUAGAUACACCAAAAUUCUACCCACCACAACAGCUUGUAACACAGUUUUGCCCUUCUGGUCAUUCGGGUUAGUUAUUAAUUGGGCAGAUCCAUGGAUUUCCUGGUGUGCUGUGAGCUGCACUGGACACUGAGCAAUUCUAGAGGGACAGCACACAUGACCCUGAUCCAGAUCCUGCCUUGAGGAAACACAGAGAAGGACACAGAGGAUCCUGAAAUGACACAGUGUGAUAAGAUCUCAAGUUUUCACCUGGAGCGAGCCUCCAAUUGAGAUCCUAGCUAUGUCU